rnacentral:rRNA from 1 species
GAUGAACGCUGGCGGCGUGCCUAAUACAUGCAAGUCGAACGAAGAGAGAAGCUUGCUUCUCUUUUAGUGGCGAACGGGUGAGUAAUACAUAAGCAACCUACCCAUACGACCGGGAUAACAGUUGGAAACGACUGCUAAUACCGGAUAGGUGACCGGGGGACAUCCCCUGAUCAUUAAAGCUGGGACACAGCACGAAUGGAUGGGCUUAUGGCGCAUUAGUUAGUUGGCGGGGUAACGGCCCACCAAGACGAUGAUGCGUAGCCGACCUGAGAGGGUGACCGGCCACACUGGGACUGAGACACGGCCCAGACUCCUACGGGAGGCAGCAGUAGGGAAUUUUCGGCAAUGGGCGCAAGCCUGACCGAGCAACGCCGCGUGAGUGAAGAAGGCCUUCGGGCUGUAAAGCUCUGUUGUAAGGGAAGAAUGGCCAAGAGAGGGAAUGCUCUUGGAGUGACGGUACCUUACCAGAAAGCCACGGCUAACUACGUGCCAGCAGCCGCAGUAAAAC